rnacentral:rRNA from 1 species
CAGUAGGGAGGAAGGUAGUGUAGUUAACACCUGCACUAUUGACGUUACCUACAGAAGAAGCACCGGCUAACUCCGUGCCAGCAGCCGACGGUAAUACGGGAGGGUGCGAGUACGUUAAGUACGGAAUUACGUGGGACGUAAAGCGCAUGCAGGCGGCCUAGUUAAGUCAGAUGUAGAAACGGCCCGGGGUACCUUAACCGUACGGUAAUUGCUAUUUAGAAACGUGGCGAGGCUAGAGUCUUGUAGAGGGGGUAGAAUUUCAGGUGUAGCGGUGAAAUGCGUAGAGAUCUGAAGGAAUACCAGUGGCGAAGGCGGCCCCCUGGACAAAGACUGACGCUCAGAUGCGAAAGCGUGGGGAGCAAACAGGAUUAGAUACCCUGGUAG